GUGGGGAAUAUUGGGCAAUGGGGGAAACCCUGACCCAGCAACGCCGCGUGAGGGAAGAAGGUUUUCGGAUUGUAAACCUCUGUCCUUGGUGACGAAGGAAGUGACGGUAACCAAGGAGGAAGCCCCGGCUAACUACGUGCCAGCAGCCGCGGUAAUACGUAGGGGGCAAGCGUUGUCCGGAAUGACUGGGCGUAAAGGGCGUGUAGGCGGCCGAUUAAGUCUGGAGUGAAAGUCCUGCUUUCAAGGUGGGAAUUGCUUUGGAGAUUGGUUGGCUUGAGUGCGGAAGAGGUAAGUGGAAUUCCCAGUGUAGCGGUGAAAUGCGUAGAGAUUGGGAGGAACACCAGUGGCGAAGGCGACUUACUGGGCCGUAACUGACGCUGAGGCGCGAAAGCGUGGGGAGCGAACAGGAUUAGAAACCCUAGUAGUCC
rnacentral:rRNA from 1 species